rnacentral:lncRNA from 1 species
GCUGCAUACCAGGUCCUAUUCUUUUUAGUAGAGACAGAGAAAGCAGCUGUAAGCAACAAGGCUGAAGUCUCUGCUGCUCCACAACCUACCUGCCAGUUUGGUCACAGGUAUCUCCCAAGAUACACAAUCACCUGGAGUGGAAGCUUCAGGACAACAGGGCUGGGAACCUGCGUGUUUCAGAUAAGAUACCUCUUGGAUACCUCUUGAUUCACUCUUCUUCCUGCCACUGUGGUGAGGAUCAUUGAGUCUUUGACCAGCUUUAUGCAGAUCAGCUGGGACUAAGCCCACACAAGGAGCUGAAGACACAUCUUGUAAGAGUCUUGUUUUACUUCUGCAUGGUUUCAUACUCACGGGAUGUGCUCUACCUGAGGGUCCCCAGCUGCUGAAGGCAGAGGAAUCGCGAGUCAGGCAAUGUGGAUUUGAAUGUUGAAUAAAGAGUAUCCUACCUGGGAGGCUUUGCACCAGUCAUGUACCCUGACUGAGCCCCCAUCUUCUCACCUGUAAAUAGCAAUAUCGUGAUGGGGUCUCCACCGGGGCAUGAUGGAAAUGAGCAGAGGCAUUCUAAUGAACUCAUGAGGGGCCUGGUAUGGAGUCACUGUCUACAGGACCUGGCCCAGGGAGUGGACACUAGACACAAACACUGUUGCCGUGGCUGCUGAGCGACCAUGCUUCCCUGAGCAGACAGGCUUGGAAGGGGAAGGCACAGCAAUCAGCCGACCUUGCAGAAACUCAGGCUUCCUCCAACCUUCUGUUUCUGAACAGCUCACCUCUCCCUCCUCCAAAAUUUUUUUUAAUAAUAGGAAGACAUGUUCUUAAUUUUUCUUUCAGUCAAGGAGAUAUGGCUAUGGGGUCUUCUGGAAUCUUGCCUUGGGGAUGCUCAUUCUCCUGGCAGAAAUUAAUCCCUUCUUCUCUUUCCUCUUUUUAAAUAAAAUGAAAGAGCUUUCUUUA